UUGAACUUUUUGGAAACAUUA
ensembl:piRNA 21ur-12026 ncRNA